AUAAGAGGUCCCGCCUGCCCUGUGACUUUAAGUUUAACGGCCGCGGUAUUUUAACCGUGCGAAGGUAGCGUAAUCACUUGUCUUUUAAAUGAAGACCUGUAUGAAUGGCAUCACGAGGGCUUAGCUGUCUCCCCUCCCCAGUCAAUGAAAUUGACCUCCCCGUGCAGAGGCGGGGAUAUUUACAUAAGACGAGAAGACCCUGUGGAGCUUUAGACCUAAAGUAAGCCAUGUUUAGUAUCCUGAGAUAUCAGUAAAAACUUAAUGGCAAUUAUUGAAGUGUCUUUGGUUGGGGCGACCGCGGGGUAAAACACAACCCCCAUGUGGACCGGGGAUAUUAUCCCUAAUACUCAGAGCCGCUACUCCAAGUAACAGAAAUUCUGACUUUAUGAUCCGGUAUAACCGAUCAACGAACCGAGUUACCCCAGGGAUAACAGCGCAAUCCCCUCUCAGAGCCCAUAUCGACGAGGGGGUUUACGACCUCGAUGUUGGAUCAGGACAUCCUAAUGGUGCAGCCGCUAUUAAGGGUUCGUUUGUUCAACGAUUAAAGUCC
rnacentral:rRNA from 1 species